rnacentral:lncRNA from 1 species
AUGCUCUCUUUCAAUCUCUUUCUGUCUCUCUUCUUCUCUUUCGAUUUGUUUUUGUCUCUUUUCCAUUAUCUUUCUUUCAAUCUCUCUCUGUCUCUCUUCUCUUUCCAUAUUUUUAUGUCUCUUUUCAAUUAUCUUCCUUUUGAUCUCUCUCUGUCUAUCUUUCUCCCUCUCCCUUUCUUCCUCUUCCAUCUCUAUUUGCUUCUGUUUACAUCUUUCUUCUUCACGAUCUCUUUCAAUCUCUCUCAGUCUCUCUUUCUUUCCAUAUUUUUAUGUCUCUUUUCCAUUAUCUUCCUUUUGAUCUCUCUCUGUCUAUCUUUCUCCCUCUCCCUUUCUUCCUCUUCCAUCUCUAUUUGCUUCUGUUUACAUCUUUCUUCUUCACGAUCUCUUUCAAUCACUUUCUGUCUCUCUUCUUCUCUUUCGAUAUGUUUUUGUCUCUUUUCCAUGAUCUUUCUUUUGAUGUCUCUCUGUCUCUCUUUCUCCCCAUCUCUUUCUUCCUCUUCCAUCUCUAUGUGCUUCUGUUUGCGUCUCUCCUCUUCUUCUUCUCUCUCCAUCUCCUUCUUCUUCUCAUCUUCUUCUUGUCUCUGUUUUGGUAUUUUCUCCAUUCUCUUGCUUUCUACCUCUUUCUGUUUGUUGUGCUCACCCUCCAUCUUCUCCUCCAUGUCCAUUUGGUUCUGUUUCCAUUUAUAUUUGUCUGUUUCCAUAUUUUCUAAUUCAAUCCGCUGUUCCUUGAUUUUCUUGAAGACUUCCUCCAAUUCAGACGUCUUUUUGUCAUUGAUGAGGGCUGUCUCCAGCUCCAUCUCUCUCUCCACUCUCUUUUUCAUCUCCUCUUCACUUUGUCUCCAAUCAUUUCCUCUCUCUCUGUCUCUAUCAAAUGUUCUCUCUGGUUCAGUCUCGUCUUUCAAUCUAAUCUCUUCUUUCAUUCUCACAACCUCUCUGUCUAACACUAGUACAUUUUGGUUAACCUGUUUCACUCUCUCAUUCUGUCUUCUAAACACUUCUUUCGCUCUUUCAAAUUUGAUUUUGUAUUGA